rnacentral:rRNA from 1 species
AGUGAACGCUGGCGGUAGGCCUAACACAUGCAAGUCGAACGGCAGCACAGUAAGAGCUUGCUCUUACGGGUGGCGAGUGGCGGACGGGUGAGGAAUACAUCGGAAUCUACUUUUUCGUGGGGGAUAACGUAGGGAAACUUACGCUAAUACCGCAUACGACCUACGGGUGAAAGCAGGGGAUCUUCGGACCUUGCGCGAUUGAAUGAGCCGAUGUCGGAUUAGCUAGUUGGCGGGGUAAAGGCCCACCAAGGCGACGAUCCGUAGCUGGUCUGAGAGGAUGAUCAGCCACCCUGGAACUGAGGCACGGUCCAGACUCCUAAGGGGAGCAGCAGUGGGGAAUAUUGGACAAUGGGCGCAAGCCUGAUCCAGCCAUACCGCGUGGGUGAAGAAGGCCUUCGGGUUGUAAAGCCCUUUUGUUGGGAAAGAAAAGCAGCAGGUUAAUACCCCGCUGUUCUGACGGUACCCAAAGAAUAAGCACCGGCUAACUUCGUG